GGGGAAUAUUGCGCAAUGGGGGAAACCCUGACGCAGCGACGCCGCGUGAAGGAAGAAGGCCUUCGGGUUGUAAACUUCUUUAAUCAGGGACGAGAAGAAGACGGUACCUGAGGAAUAAGCCACGGCUAACUACGUGCCAGCAGCCGCGGUAAUACGUAGGUGGCGAGCGUUGUCCGGAAUUACUGGGUGUAAAGGGCGUGUAGGCGGGGAGGUAAGUCAGAUGUGAAAGACCACGGCUCAACCGUGGGGUUGCAUCUGAAACUAUCUUUCUUGAGUGCUGGAGAGGAAAGCGGAAUUCCUAGUGUAGCGGUGAAAUGCGUAGAUAUUAGGAGGAACACCAGUGGCGAAGGCGGCUUUCUGGACAGUAACUGACGCUGAGGCGCGAAAGCGUGGGGAGCAAAC
rnacentral:rRNA from 1 species